CCACCUGCUCCCCUUCUCCUC
rnacentral:miRNA from 1 species